CGGGUUGGUUGGACGGUUGCGCCUCGGCUUUGGUCGGGGUGAGGAAAGUCCGCGCUCCAUAGGGUACGGUGCUGGCUAACUGCCAGGCGGAGUGAUCCGACGGCAAAGUGCAACAGAGAGACAGAGUGCCCCAGACGAUGGGGUGAGGGUGAAACGGUGCGGUAAGAGCGCACCAGCGUGGGUGGUAACACCAACGGCUAGGCAAACCCCACCGGGAGCAAAACCAAGCAGAGGUCAGGGGCGACCCGUCCCGUUAUGAGCCUCGGGUAGGUUGCAGGAGGUGUCGAGUAAUCGCCAUCCCAGAUAGAUGACCGUCGCCCAUCUUGGGUACAGAACGCGGCUUAUAGACUGACCCGGAUA
rnacentral:RNase_P_RNA from 1 species